GAGACGUUAGUAAACCAAUUACAUGGCCUUGUCAGGGCUAAAUCACAGGUGAAAACCCCGUACAUCUCA
rnacentral:tRNA from 1 species